UGAGUAAUGCCUAGGGAUCUGCCCAGUCGAGGGGGAUAACAGUUGGAAACGACUGCUAAUACCGCAUACGCCCUACGGGGGAAAGGAGGGGACCUUCGGGCCUUCCGCGAUUGGAUGAACCUAGGUGGGAUUAGCUAGUUGGUGAGGUAAUGGCUCACCAAGGCGACGAUCCCUAGCUGUUCUGAGAGGAUGAUCAGCCACACUGGGACUGAGACACGGCCCAGACUCCUACGGGAGGCAGCAGUGGGGAAUAUUGCACAAUGGGGGAAACCCUGAUGCAGCCAUGCCGCGUGUGUGAAGAAGGCCUUCGGGUUGUAAAGCACUUUCAGUAGGGAGGAAAGGUUGCAGUUUAAUAAACUGUAGCUGUGACGUUACCUACAGAAGAAGGACCGGCUAACUCCGUGCCAGCAGCCGCGGUAAUACGGAGGGUCCGAGCGUUAAUCGGAAUUACUGGGCGUAAAGCGUGCGCAGGCGGUUUGUUAAGCGAGAUGUG
rnacentral:rRNA from 1 species